rnacentral:snRNA from 1 species
AAUGGUUGAAGCAUCUCCAA